rnacentral:lncRNA from 1 species
AUGGCAGCAACGCACAUCCUCACAUCGAAAUGAUUAUCGUCGAAUAAUCGUUCCGAUCCGGGUUCCCGAAAAUGUCAAAUUCGACAUCGGAACCCACCGUCGCUCAGCCGUCAUUUUUGAACCCUCGAAAUGACGCGAGUGACCAGCCAACAAGGCUCAACGACUACACAAUAUACCGUGAGGCACCAUCAGAUGAAUUCCGAACCGAAAUCCCGUUUCGUCGUCGAAUUUCGCCGAAAAACGCACCGAAAAUCAACAUCUGAUUUUCGAGAAGGCCUGGGGCCUUGGACAACCAGUCCAGAGGUCACUCGCUACCCGCAAACGCUGCCAAUAGCAACUACAAAACAUACAAUUGCAUAAAAACCCCUGCGACUACAUAAAAUCACAUCAUUUU